CCUCCGCCCCACAUGCCUCCCCUGACCCGCCUUCCUAUCCCGCCCACCGCCGCCGCACAGGGCCAUGGCCCUCGCCCAGCCAACUACCUCCGGCGGCCAUGCCCUGCCCGGCAACCACCGGAUCCGGUGGGAUCCCGCUCCACCUCCCCUCAUCUAUCGCCUUUCACCAUGCCGUCGCGCCGGACGGAUGGAAGGUAUCCGAUGGAGCGCCAUCUUCCUCCAGCGCCAGCUCCCUCCCAUGGCCGGCCCGAUAUGGGCUGGAUCUCUUCUCCUAGGACGGCGACGAUGUGCCAGGAGAUACACGGUGGCUACGGUAGCAGGGAUCGUGCGUGCAGUCUGGCGCCCGUGGAUGUGCAGCUCGGCUGUGUGAGAUGCGGUUGUGGGUGUUAAUGUCAAGCAGUUCAUGGGCACGCCGGUGAUGACAACAGCAACGGCUCCGCUUCCAGCGAGCUCAACCGGUCGUCCGCCGGCGGGAUCCUCAGUUCGGCGGUGCGUAGAUGUACAGUGCGGUGGAGCUGACAAAAACGACGAGGAGUACGAUGGUGUGUGACUUGUGGUUCGCGGGUACUGGUGACCCCCAUCUUGCCAAGAUCCAUCCGCCGCCCCUUCCCUUCCCUCCCUCCUAGGUGUGCAGAACGGUUUCCGUUCAGUGCACUGUGAAUUCAGUGCAGUAAAAUUUCUAAUGCAGCUCGUUAAUUCCUCUUUGCAGUUUGUUUGGUGCCCCCGGCAUGAGGUUCAGCCAACUUAUCUUCUUGUAGUUCGAAAACUGGUCUACAAACGAAAAGGCAUGCAUGAUUUGUGGACGACUAAGGAUUUUACCUGUGUGCAGCUCUAUUUGCAGUACUUGCGCCUCGACUGUGGAGUUCGCCUGGCAUUUUCGUUCAGUCCACUGUGUAAAAAAUGAACUAGAUGUCUCCGCGGCCUGCAGUGAGACAAUCCACUUUUGUUGUUGAUUUUGAUGAAUUUAGUGCAGUAAAAUCUCAAAUUAGUAUGCUUUGCGGCUUGUUUGAGCACAGUGAAGAACCACCUCAAGAAAUUCAGAAUCCCAGUCAACUUGUCAGCGCGGAGAGAAAAAACGGCGUCAACAACAACACAAAUGCAGAUCCAGGGGUGGCCGAAGCUGGAGUGGAGUUGCUCUCCUCCAUGGCGCUCCACCUCGGUGGCUGUGCGGGUCAUAGGAGUUUUUUUUUCUUUUUUUGGAUUUUGGAUGUGCAGUGCACACGGAUCAUGCGAGCAGUGCACCCGGAUCACGCGAGGAGUUAAUUGCAGCGUGAUUACAGUUUUGGUGGCGCGGGCAGCAUUUUUUUCUUUUAUUUUUAUAGAAAAAGUUUCAUCUAGCCAGCCUUUUUUUAUUUCGAAUAUGCAGUUCAGUGGCAUGGUGUAGUUUGCAGGUGCAGUACGCCACUGGGGUGUGAUCUAGUACGUCACGGCUAGUGCUCAAUUGUCGUUCAGCUGGUGACAUUGUGGAUUUUGUGUGUAUGGCUGUGUGUGUGGCUGUUUAAAAACAAUGAAAAGAUAUAGAGUAUAUGUUUUGAAGCUCA